rnacentral:rRNA from 1 species
CCUACGGGAGGCAGCAGUGAGGAAUAUUGGUCAAUGGACGAGAGUCUGAACCAGCCAAGCAGCGUGAAGGAUGACUGCCCUAUGGGUUGUAAGCUUCGUUUAUAAAGGAGUAAAACGAGGCACGUGUGCCUUUUUGCAUGUACUUUAUGUAUUAGGAUCGGCUAACUCCGUGCCAGCAGCCGCGGUAAUACGGAGGAUGCGAGCGUUAUGCGGAUUUAUUGGGUUUAAAGGGAGCGUAGUUGGGUUGUUAAGUCAGUUGUGAAAGCUUGCGGCUCAACCGUAAAAUUGCAUUUGAUACUGGUAGUCUUGAGUACAGUAGAGGUAGGCGGAAUUCGUGGUGUAGCGGUGAAAUGCUUAGAUA